AUAACAGCUGGAAACGGUGUUAAUGCCGCAUAAGCGCACAGAGCUGCAUGGCUCGGUGUGAAAAACUCCGGUGGUAUGGGAUGGGCCCGCGUCUGAUUAGGCAGUUGGCGGGGUAACGGCCCACCAAACCGACGAUCAGUAGCCGGCCUGAGAGGGCGACCGGCCACAUUGGGACUGAGACACGGCCCAAACUCCUACGGGAGGCAGCAGUGGGGAAUAUUGCACAAUGGGGGAAACCCUGAUGCAGCGACGCCGCGUGAGCGAAGAAGUAUUUCGGUAUGUAAAGCUCUAUCAGCAGGGAAGAUAAUGACGGUACCUGACUAAGAAGCCCCGGCUAACUACGUGCCAGCAGCCGCGGUAAUACGUAGGGGGCAAGCGUUAUCCGGAUUUACUGGGUGUAAAGGGAGCGUAGACGGCAAGGCAAGUCUGAUGUGAAAACCCAGGGCUUAACCCUGGGACUGCAUUGGAAACUGUCUGGCUCGAGUGCCGGAGAGGUAAGCGGAAUUCCUAGUGUAGCGGUGAAAUGCGUAGAUAUUAGGAAGAACACCAGUGGCGAAGGCGGCUUACUGGACGGUAACUGACGUUGAGGCUCGAAAGCGUGGGGAGCAAACAGGAUUAGAUACCCUGGUAGUCCACGCCGUAAAC
rnacentral:rRNA from 1 species